UGUUGUUUUCCCAGGGCUCAAUAUCUGAGUCUGGCCUUUAUUUGUACUCUGCUAUCGGAAGUCACAGGGUUGUUGUCCAGCUGUCCCAAAGAGAAAGGCAGCAGCUGUCUGUUGGAGAGCUGGAGGAAAAUAUAUAAAGAAACCGAAGCGUUAAACUGUAAAAAUAAAAGAAGAAAACACAGAGUUCAACUUUUUAAACAAUCAAUGUUAUUCUGCACACAGCAAUUACUUCUGCUGUCAGUAGGGAUAAAGUUUACAACUGCAGGAAACAGUAAAAAGUCAAAUGUGCUUUUGUAAAAUCCAGCAUGAGCUUGCAAAGUCAGUGACACCCUACCUUGGGAAGGCUGCUUUCAGAUGUUACAUUUACCAAGAGGCAGUACAUACAUAAGUCAACCCAUGGUCUUUGAUGCCAUCGUUCCAUCCUCUUUUUAUUCUUUUGAUGCGACUGCUGCAGAGCUUCUCAAAAGCACAGACAUGAAUAGGAGAGAGGGAGAGAGCAAGGAAGAGGGAUGGAGGGGAGAGAGAGGCGAAACCGUGGUCUUUCAUUUUACAGAAAAUAUACAUCUCCUUAAAAAUAAAACAGAGAAAAACGGCAAUGCAUCCCAAAUGUACAAUGUAUAUCAGAAGACGUUUAAAGCAGAGUUUGUUUUUAUUGAUGUCUUCAUUUGAAAAACAAAAGAAAUCCUAAAGUUGUAAAUUUCAAAGACAGGGGAUAAGAAGAAGAUGCUGAUACUGUGUACCACAGAUAAAUCAGGUGGCACCAACAGAAUUUCAAUACCUAAGGUUAAUAAUAUCCCCAUCAGUAGUGCUUGAAAAAGCACUGACUACUUUUAGAGGAGGCUUAAUUUUAAAUCUCAAGAGAAGUCAAUCAGUAUAUGUCUAAAAUAUGCGUUGGAAUGUGCAUUGCAUACAUUAGUGCUGUUUUUCUACCUACCUAAAAUGCAUCUUGUUUCCUGUACAAUUAUUUUAUACAUUGAGACUGGCGGUAGCUUGAAGUAGAAAAUAAUAUUUCAGAAAAAGAGUGCAAAUACAAAAAACAGAAGCAACUAUGAUCAUUAAAUGCUUUUGAUGUCCUCCUCAUCAGUUGUUUUCUGGGUGGUCUUUUGACUGUGGGACUGUGGAUCUAGCUAUGUCAUACAUUUUCUGGAACCCAUGCUUUCUCGUUGUUUGUUUGUUUGUUGUUGUUGUUGUGUGCUACCAAGUCACCCCCAACUUAUGAUGAUCCCAUGAAUGAAUUACCUCCAGAAUGUCCUGUCCUCAGCAGUCCUGUUCAGCUCUUGCAAACUCAUACCUUCCUUUAGGGAAUCAACCCAUCUUAUAUUUGGUCUUCCUGUUUUCCAUCUGCCUUCUAUCUUUCCCAGCAUUGUUAUCUUUUUCAGAGAAUCUUGUCUUCUUGUGAUGUGCCCGAAUUAAGACAGCCUCAGUUUUUACAUUUUUGUUUCCAGAGACACUUCAGUCU
rnacentral:lncRNA from 1 species